CUGAACAGUUCUGGGACUCUAAGACUGGGACGCAGAAGCGAAAGAGACAAUGAAGAGCUUCCUACUGGCGAUUGCGCUCUAUGGAGCACUUUCUUGUGCUUUGCCCCUAAUCCACGAAGCUGAUCAAGUUGGAGAAGCGGACCUGAAUUUUGCCAAGGUAAUGUUUGAUGGUAGCACAGAGGGGAAGCAGAAUUCCACUAGCAGAAAAAGUAGUCAGUCACUAAUUGCCUUGUGCAAAGUGGCAGUCAAUGUAAUGUUGUGCAUGCUUAUAGACUGGGAAUUCUGCAGAUUCCGACCUCUGCUCCUCCAUAGGUGUGCCUAAUGGGUUUGGGUAAAAUAGACCGCAAUCCUACAUGCAACCCUACAUUCAUACAUCUUGGAGUAAGUCCCACUGAACUGAGAAGAUGUGCAUAGGAUUCACUGUUAAUGUCCGUUAGCUUCAGUUCUUAUGUCUGUAAAAUGGGUUCAAUUAGACAAAUGAGCUUCCUCAUUGGGGGAAAAGUUAGAAAGAUCAAAAUUCUACAAUGUGAAAGAUUAUAUGUGAAAAUAAUUCUGCAACAAUCAAAUGCAUCUGUUCUUUCCAUCAGAUGUACAUAGAAAACUACUAUCCUGAUUCCACAUCAACGCCAGUCGCAAGAAGCAAAAGGAGUGAUGAGAUUCCUGUUGACAAGUUACAACAAAUGCAGAAACACUUUGGGCUGAGAGUGACGGGCAGAUUGGACUCACACACUUUGGCUGCAAUGAAGAAUCCCAGGUGUGGGGUUCCUGAUGUAGCAGAAUACAGCACCUUUCCUUUGUCACCAAAAUGGGGACGAAAAAACCUGACAUAUAGGUAAAGUUUCAAAACACUUGCCUGAAUCAAAGAUGUAACUUGAUAAUGCUUAUUAUUGGCUCCUGGCUGAGGAAGAAAACUUCUGUCUGGGGAGAAAAUUGAAUGGAUGAUCUUAAAGAGGGUAUGUCUGGCCGGCUGUCUGGAAGCCUGAUCAGGAACACACCAGACUGCAGAUUUUUGGGUAGUACAGAUCCCACUUGCAAGCUACUGUUUUCAACUUGUAUUCAUAGGAAUGCUGGGAUUCCUUUGUCAGAUAAGUAAUGGUCUUUCCUAAAAGUUGGCUGUUGUUGUUGUUGUUGUUUAGUUGUUUAGUCGUGUCCGACUCUUUGUGACCCCAUGGACCAGAGCACGCCAGGCACUUCUGUCUUCCACUGUCUCCCACAGUUUGGUCAGACUCAUGUUUGUAGCUUCGAGAACACUGUCCAACCAUCUCGUCCUCUGUCGUCCCCUUCUCCUUGUGCCCUCCAUCUUUCCCAACAUCAGGGUCUUUUCCAGGGAGUCUUCUCUUCUCAUGAGGUGGCCAAAGUAUUGGAGCCUCAACUUCACGAUUUGUCCUUCCAGUGAGCACUCAGGGCUAAUUUUCUUAAGAAUGGAUGCAUUUGAUCUUCUUGCAGUCCAUGGGACUCUCAAUAGUCUCCUCCAGCACCAUAAUUCAAAAGCAUCAAUUCUUCGGCGAUCAGCCUUCUUUAUGGUCCAGCUCUCACUUCCAUAACUCACUACUGGGAAAACCAUGGCUUUAACUAUACGGACCUUUGUUGGCAAGGUGAUGUCUCUACUUUUUAAGAUGUUGUCUAGGUAUGCCAUCGCCUUUCUCCCAAGGAGCAGGCGUCUUUUAAUUUCGUGACUGCUGACACCAUCUGCCGUGAUCAUGGAGCCCAAGAAAGUAAAAUCUCUCACUGCCUCCAUUUCUUCCCCUUCUAUUUGCCAGGAGGUGAUGGGCCCAGUGGCCAUGAUCUUCGUUUUUUUGAUGUUGAGCUUCAGACCAGUCUACCAUUAUUGAUUUUCCUGUGCAACACAGAGCUUAAUUCUAGUCAUCGUUGCAUAAUUUUAACACACUUAGAAAUACAAGGGGCAGGGAUGUGGAGAUACUCUGAGACAUAAAAUGAUGUCUCCUCUUGCACACACACUUUGAAAGCUCUGUGAACAUUCUUUCAAAUGUGCGUUUCAUCUUCUACCGUGUGUUUCACAGCGUUCUGAAUUACACGCCAGACAUGGACCGCGCUGACGUAGAUGUUGCCAUCGAGAGAGCUUGGAAAGUUUGGAGUGAUGUGACUCCCCUGACCUUCACCAGGGUUUAUGGGAAACCUGCAGAUAUCAAGAUCUCUUUCGCUGCUAGGGGUAAGUAAAUCACACGCAAGGAAUUAUAGUAGGUUUACCCAAGUUCCUGGCUGGGUGAUUUAUAUAUAUGUUCUUUGAUUUUUUUAAAGCUCAUGGUGACGAUAUCCCAUUCGAUGGACCAGGUGGGCAGUUGGCUCAUACAUUUUCACCUGCCUUCGGUGGAAGCGUCCAUUUUGAUGAGAAUGAACCCUGGGCACGGGAUUUAAAAGGUAUUUUCAUUGUUUCGUCUCAAUAUAUUCUAUUCACUUGCUUGUGACAGCUGUCAAGGAAGCUUAAUUACUUUUGCUGGCAAACAUUGAGACCCCAGCACCAUUCAUGUCCCACGGGACUUACUCUGGAGUUUUAAAAUAGUGUUAUUGUUAUUAAGAAUGACAUGAAAAAAUACAAACAACAAAUAACAAGUGUUGGUCACCAGGUACAAAGCAAAAUAUCGUCAUGAUGUGUAUAAGGCAGAAAAUAAUAGCAGCAUGUUUAGUAAAACAACCAAGCCAAAAAUAUGCAUGAGGUACAGGGGGUCUAGGUUCCUCCCGCUGACAGUUAAUAAAAGAAAUAAAUAUAAACUAAUCCACCUAAAAUAUAUAUAUAUAUUUAAUUUCUCCAUGCAUUGCUCUACAGCGUUGCUAAAGUUUAUCUGGCACACAAAGCAAGUCUUUUUCAUACAGCUCAGCUAUAGAAUUUGCUGCCACAAGAUGCCACAAUGGCCAUCAGUGUGGCUGGCAAAUUCAUGGGUGUUAGAUGAUUGGUGGCUACUAAUCUUCAUGACUAUGUUGCAUCCCAACUUCAUGGCUCUAAUAGCAGUUGCUGGGAAUCACAAGUGCCAAAGGCACCGUUGCUCUUGAGUCAUACUCGGGGCUUCUGAGAGACAUCUGGAGGCUGAUCUAUUAGGGCAACUGGAGGGCUGCCUCUUCCAGGGCCAACAUGCCUUUCCUUUGACUUACAACCAGGCCAGUGGGCGCCCCUGCUUUUCAGCUUCCUGUUCCUUAAUCUCAGUGCCCUUGCAGAACUCAGCAGGGAGGUGGAUGGGGACAACCCUAGAAUUAGUUGGCUCUGCCUGCCAUUGGCCCUAGAUCCUUCGACUCUUGGCCUUUCUGCCUUCCAACCCACCACUGGGAGCAUAGGAUGUGGGUCUUCGGUCCUUAUCCAAUAGGACACUUCUUGUGUUCAUGACAUUCAUUUAUUACACUCCACUUGCAUAUCAUAUUGCUCUCUGUCACAUUACUGGUCUAUUUGAUUGGGGUUCUUGUAUUUGCAUUCCUUCUAUGAGCUGCUUGGAGCACUGCUUGGUGGGAUACAAACCUAACAAACAAAUAAUCAGGACUUGCAUUGAAAGCAGUCGUUGCUAUAAUGAAAUCAGUGAUAAUGAUCCCUUCUGACUGCAAAGAAUAGGAAUGUGGCUGAUGAAAUUUAAUUAUGAAAAGCACCAUUUUUGUCAACGUAACCCCCCCCCCAAAAAAAACCCACAACGUUCAUUGGUACAUCCUAUGGACUGUUCUGUACAUCCAUAAAUGGUAUUAGUAAACUCACUCGGGUUAUUCAUAAGAUUAGACUACAUUUCCUUGUUUCUGGCAAAAGGGCAAGUGUGCUCUUUUUUUAGCAUGUAGUUGAAAUGGUUUGACAUAGAAGGUUCCAUGUGGAAUCUCCAGGAAGGGAUUGCAAAGACCCAUCUGAAAUCCCAAAGAGUUGCUGUCCAUCUUCUUCUUCUUCUUCUUCUUCUUUUGCGAUCACUCAUAGCUGAGUAAGAUUGUCUUCCAUAAACACGGUUUUAACAAUGAGUCUGUAAGUGACUGUGGAGGCCAAUUCUGGAUCCACACGUCCUUCCACAGUGGGGACAUUGGUUUCUGGGUGGGAGUUGAUCAUGGUGUGGAUUUGUCAAGCAUGCCUUCCUCCUAGCACAUUUCUCCCUUGCGUCCUGAGUUCGGGUGUCUUCAAAGCCCAUGGCACCUUUGGUAAAGGCUGUUCUCCAACUGGACCACUCGCAGGCCAGUGUUUCCCAGUUGUCAGUGUUUAUACUACAUUUUUAAAGAUUUGCUAAACCCAUUCCUGUUUCCUUUAUAGGCACCAACCUUUUUCUUGUAGCUGCUCAUGAGUUUGGCCAUGUACUGGGCCUCAGGCAUUCCAGCAAUCCAGAGGCUCUGAUGUUUCCAACCUACAGAAAUAGAGACCUUAAAAAUUUUGGUCUUCACACGGAUGACAUUGAGGGCAUCCAGCACCUUUAUGGUAAGUACAGACUCCCAGAUGAUUAUAUGGAAUGAGGCCAUGUAAGAGCACUGGCUUGGAUCCUAAGGUCAGUUAGCUGAAGAAUGUUCACAGAAAAGACUCAAAUAGAUUCUCUGAAGGGUUUGGGUCGACCUUCAGAACAAGGUAGGAGGGAGUAACAGGAAACUUCAUUUCCAUGAACUCCCUAGAGUAGUCUUAGAUUCUGAGGGGAAUUCCAGCCCUCCCUGCAGGAACGCCCCCCAUGCCCCAUCUAUUUUGGAUGCCCCCUCAACCCUCCAGAGAGAUUUUUCAGGGGGUACCAUGGCUGUGGAAUGGGUGGGUGAGAAAAACAACUGAAAAUCUUUCUGUGAACUUUCUUAUUUGGGGAGCAAAUGAUCGUCCAGACCACCUGAUGUGAAUUCACAGAGCCAAUCUAUUAUUCCAUCUAUUGUUGUAUUUCACUGUCUUCCAAUAAAUUAUUACUCAUUUUUAUUAUUACUAUUUAUUACCUGGCCUUCACCCUAAAAUCCCAGAAUGGGUUUCAACAAUUAAUACACAACAUCAAUAGUAAAACACAAUAUUACAUGAUACUUUUUUAAAAAAAGUUUAAAGCAAAUUAAAAUGAAGUCUCCUGCAAUGCCUCUGAACUGCAUAUUCCAAAUCCUGCUUGUUCUUCAGUUCUUCUCUUUACCUCUUUUUCAAGGACCCCCUGAAGGUGGUGAUGACAAUGAAGCCAGUGGUUCAUCAAUUAACCUCACAUCCACAACAGAGGCACCAUCCACAAAAUGGUGUGACCCUCGCCUGGCUUUUGAUGCUGUUACCUCUUUCCGAGGGGAAAUCCUGUUCUUUAAAGACAGGUAAAUAAUAUCUAAACACUGAACUUUUUACCUUCUAACUCAAAGUCAUGCCCCUCCUCCAAGAACAUUUCUACUCAAAGAGUACUCUGCAAACACAAUGAAUCAGCAAUGACUUUUCCCUUAUGAUGCAAAUAACCAUCCAUACUAUGCUCAACAUACUGCUCAUUAAAUUCAUUCAACAUGCCCUCCUUGGUGCGUAAGGUAAGAACAAUUGCAAAUAGUACUAGUCAGUAUUGACUAGGCACCCUGUAGUUUUUUGUGGUGGUUCUGGAGAUGGCUUUGUCUAGGGUGGCUCCCAGGUUAUUGAAUGCUCUCCUUUCCAUGGUGCAUUUGACUCCAUUUUUGGCUCUCUUUCUUUUUUUUUUUUUUAUAAUUGAUAUUUAUUAAGUUUUCAAAGAAUAACAACAAAAAUUUCCAAAAAAAAAUUGAGGAUACAAAAAACAAAAAUAGUACAUAAACAAAAAAGAAAAGAAAACCCAGCCGCAAAGAAAAAAAAAGAGAAACAGAAAAACAAAAAUAUAAAGUCCUUUACAAUCUCUAUUGACUUCCUUUCUAGACUUCCUCCUCCUCCCUCUUUUGUUUCUUAAUUUUUAAUUUUUACAGCAAAUCCUUUCUGUUUUUUCAUAACAAUCUGUCAUUACGUUUCCUUAUUCUAUUUUCCCUCUUGUCAUAUAAAAACUUUAAGACUCAUAGCUUAUAUUCAAUAUUUACCAAAUUCUUGCAUCAUUACCUUUUACGAAUCAUUUACCAAUCCUUACUUAAGCCAUGUAAUUUCAUUCAACAUCCUUCAAACAUUUGUAAGCAUUCCCAAUAUUAAAAAAUAAAAAGAAAAAAAUAAUAAGUCAAAUUCAGUCCAGUCAGCUUCCAACCUCCCCUCCCCUGGACCCGGGAUUGUCAGUCCUUUUAACCUCGAUAAUCCGGCUCCUUAACCUGGUUGUCUCGUAUCCGAGGCCCUCAAGUCUCUUUCUUGCCCCUUUCGCCACUCUUGUUGAUGAUUCCUUUCCAGUCGUGGAUGCUCCAGCAAGAAAAUGCUUUUGACCCUUUGCAGCAAGUCCAUCCCAAACCCAUUGCCCAAGCCAGACAGCAAAUAAUACCACUUCAAAUUUCCACAAAGCUUGGAGACUUCGGCUACUCCAAUCCUCUGAUAGCCCAUCACCAGACUCGGAAGGUCCAAAUAACCAUAUGGAGGGGGUCGAUCCAUCCCCCAUUUCCAAAUCUGACCACAUUUCAUCUUUCCGAAUCUGGUUUGUCCCAAGUUCAUUUAUCAAGUUCAAAGGCUGAUCUUGCCCGUCCAAAGGUCCCUCCAUCUCUGAAGCCUCCGUCACUACAGCAGGUUCAUAUGCUUGUAUAGCCUUUAACUGAAUUUCAUUUGUUUGCUGCUGUGCUCUGGUAACUUCCAUCAUCAAGGUCGUCUCCUGACGCAUCUGGUCCAGCUGGGCACUUAGUUUUGAAAAACCUUCCAGGAACAAUUGUUCAAGCCUUUGUACUAGCAUUGUCCUUCAAGGUCAAAGAAAAUUCUUUCCCACGACAAUAGUCCAAUAGUCCUUCUCUUUUAAUCUCUCUGCGUUGCAAUUUCACUAAAUUCCACUAGAUGGAAAUUUUUUUUUUUUUAAAGGAAUAAAAGCAACAGCAACAAUCUUUCUUUUUCCAGAAACACUUUAUCCAAAAUUCCCCUUCCAAAUUCAAGAGGCAACAGUAGAAUCAAAAUGUUACCCUUCUUUUAACUAACUGUCGAGCUGGAUAAACUUCAGAACGUCAAUUCUGACAGCCCGCUCCUGGUUCAGGGCGGUGGAAAAUUGCUUUAUUUUAAACUCACUUCCGCAGGAUUGAAAAGUCCAAAUACAACCCCUUCUUCUCCUGCAGUCAAAGGGGGUUCAGAAAUCUUAGAUGUUGAAUUCUAGUUCUCUUAGAAUUUAAUUUUCAAGCUUUAGUAUAUUUUGUCUUUGCUUUCUUCACAUAACAAAAGAACGGAAGGCGACUUCCUGUUUAGACCUUCCCAUUCCGAGUCCCAAUUAAGUUCAAUUUCAAGUCCAAUAUUAUUUGUUUAUUCACCAGUCUUAAAAGUGGUUCAACUCUUCCAAGAUCAGGUACUCACGGAUAGAUAUUUUAGAUGCCAAAUUGUCCAGGAAAAAGGCAGCGCUCUCCGAUAACGGCAGUGCGGCUUUGCUGCACGGAGGAAGCAGUCGACUCACAGCACCACGCACCUCCCACUCCGGAGCCCGUUACCGGGCUCCUGUACAAGGGAGAGAGCGCUCUCGGUGCCCGCCGAGUCCCACGUCCACAGGCUUCUUCCGCCUGUGGUUUUUGCGGGUCCCCGCUGCGCCGUAGCGGCAGGACCCAAGCCUCCGUGCAGCGGGUUCCCUUCAGUCCGAAGGGAAUUCCGCCAUUUUCCGGAGGCGCCACCCCGGAAGUCUUGGCUCUCUUUCUAUAGCGCGUCAAGAUGUAUCCUUUUUUACCGAGGUCUUUGAGGCUGGAAGAUGAUCUCUAGAUGCUCCCUCUUCUUUUGCUGGUCUUUCUUUUUUUCUAUUUAAAAUAGUUUUAAUGGCUGUCUUAGUCAUAAUAAGCAUUGUAUGGCUUCUUGUGGGUAACCUUCCCUGGGACUGUUAAAAAUAUGUAUAAUAAAUAAAUAGGCCCACAGGUAGGACUUAAACCUUAUACACAAAACAUUACCAAGAAAGAAUUUUGAUACAGUGAAAAUAAGGAAACAGAGGGAAUUGUCUUGUACUGAUUCCAGCCAUUGGUCCACAUAGCUCAGUAUUGUCUACAUUGACCAGCAACUACUCUCCUGGGUUUUAUACUCAGGGAGGGUCUUUUCAAGCCCCACUUGCAUGCAAAGCUGAUGAUCUACCAUGAAGCCACAGCCCUUCUUCUGUAAACAUUCAUAUUGUCUCCCCCAGCUUUUUCUGGAGAAAGAAUCCCCAGAGAAGAGAUGUUGAAAAGGUUCCUAUCUCUGCUUUCUGGCCAGCUUUGAGCAAAGGCAUAGAUGCUGCGUAUGAAGUUAAGGCUGAUGACACAGUAUUUCUAUUCAAAGGUAAAUAUUCCAAACGUGAAUAAACAGCAAGUAAAGGAGCUAAGAAUGAUGGAAGGAGCAUCGUGCUAUUAAGGAGAACGACCUGUGCAAGAGGCUGGAGUUACAGAAUGUUAAUGACCAAAUCCUAGCUGUUCAAUAAGUUACACAGUAUAGCUACAAAGACUUUAUUAUUAUUAUUGGUGGUGGUGGUGUAAAAUUGAGAAAUGAAGCUACGGGGGGGGGGGUGAAACUGGACAGAUUCUCUCAUCUCUAUCCAAGCAGAUUUUUUAUUUUCUUUAUCUAUUUUUUCUUCCAUCAUAGAACUCAAGGUUCUUUAAAUAAGGUUGUCAGGUAGUUCCCCAUCAAGGCACUGACCAGUCCUCAACUUGCUUAGCAGCAGCAAAGGAAUCACAUCACGUGCCCUCAAUGUGCAGGAUAUUGCUUCCAAAUCCCCAUUGCCCUGAGCAGAAGGAAUAAGAUGGAUUAGGAAUGGCCCUGCCUAAUAAUAAUAAUAAUAAUAAUAAUAAUAAUAAUUUAUUAUUUAUACCCCGCCCAUCUGGCUGAGUUUCCCCAGCCACUCUCUGCAAUUGUCUCUGCAGGGCCUGGGCUUUCUCAUUCAGGUCUGUCCCAUCUUCAUGAAAGGCUCUUUCAAUCUCCGCCCCCUCCUUUUUUCCUUUUUACUGUCUUUUGCUUAACAGGAAGCAAGUAUUGGGCCACCAAAGGAAAUACAAUACAGAUUGGUUUCCCCAAGAAUAUUCACAGCCUGGGCCUCCCGAAAAGUGUUAAGAGCAUUGAUGCAGCUGCUCAUGACAGCAACUUAAAGAAGACAUAUUUCUUCUCUGGAAACCGCUACUGGAAGUAAGGGGAACUUACCUAUCUCAUGUGGGGCAAUUCUGAACGUUCAUUGAAAAGCUCUUUAAAUCAAUGCAUUCUCAACCCAUUCAUUUCUCUAGAUAUGAUGAAGCCAAGAAGUCCAUGGAAAAAGGCUACCCAAGAAAGAUAGCAGCCGACUUCCAGAAAAUUAGCUCCAAGGUGAAAGCUGCUUUUCUGCAUCAUGGUAGGUGGAUAACCGUCUUCAUUAAACAACCUCCCUAAUCCAGUAGGACCAUAUAUAGUUGUAAUGGUGAGACAGAAGGACUUGACCACAGAUGUGAAUGUGGCAGGUUCCUCAGCCACCUGAGCAUCUCAGGACUGCUACCAUAGCCAUGGUCCAUGCCAGGAUCAAAACUGCAGAAGAUGGAACAAACCUUAACCCCCUGCCAUAGCUCUGUUCAGAGAACAUAUAGAUUUGCAGAAGCAGAAAGGAAAAUGUGAGGGAGGGGGUGUAGAACAGACCAAUGAGGACUGGACAUGCUCAGUGGCUUACUUCAGCAGUUGAGGAAUAGGAUAUCUGGUGUGGGUGGGUGUGGAAUGAACCAUUGUGGGGGAGCAGGGGUGCUUGAUUUAAUGGAACGGUGACUAAGAGCAUUCCACACUGAGGUAUUUUGUAGGUUUUUGAGUUUCCUUCAUGCAUUUGAUUCACAAUUUUUACUCUUACUCCCUAUUCUUUUUAGGACAUUUCUAUCUAUUCAGUGGAUCAAAUCAAUAUGAGUUUGACAGCAAAACCAAAAAAUUCCUCAGCAUCAAGAAGAGUGACAGCUGGUUUGGGUGCCAGUGACACAAGACAAAGGAAAAAGUGAUGAGGCCCAGAGGAAGGGAAUCUCUCUUGGUCUGGGCAUCAGGCAACGCUCACUGGGCACCAUCUUUGUUGGCAUGACUUGGUCUCUCCUGUGGUUUCAUGAGUCAUGGAACAAGCUGCAUUUUGAAUAAGGAAGUUCUAGUAUAUAUUUGUUUUUAACCUAUGGUAGAUUGCAACUAUUCAAUGAUUCUAUGAUUCUAUUUUUAUAUUUUAAAUUAUUUUAAAUAUAAUUUUCAACUCUGCCUUUAUUUACAGUCUUAACAUUUGCUAUACUUUUUUGUAAACUACUUGAGG